UACAGAGGUCCCAAGCGUUGUUCGGAUUCACUGGGCGUAAAGGGUGCGUAGGCGGUCGGGUAAGUCUGAUGUGAAAUCUCACAGCUUAACUGUGAAACUGCAUUGGAUACUAUCCGGCUCGAGGAAUGGAGGGGAGACUGGAAUACUUGGUGUAGCAGUGAAAUGCGUAGAUAUCAAGUGGAACACCAGUGGCGAAGGCGAGUCUCUGGACAUUUCCUGACGCUGAGGCACGAAAGCCAGGGGAGCAAACGGA
rnacentral:rRNA from 1 species